AGUAAAGUCAGCUAAUCAAGCUAUCGGGCCCAUACCCCGAAAAUGAUGGUCCAACCCCCUCCUUUACUA
rnacentral:tRNA from 1 species